UUAAACACCAAUUCUUGUAUGAUCAGCAAAGUUAAGCAACAUUGAGCCUUGUCAGUACCUAGAUGGGUGACCACUUGAGAAUACCAGGUACUGUAU